rnacentral:rRNA from 1 species
UACGGGGGGGGGCAAGCGUUGUUCGGAAUUACUGGGCGUAAAGGGCGCGUAGGCGGUUUGUUAAGUUGAAUGUGAAAACUCUGGGCUUAACCCAGAGCCUGCAUUCAAUACUGGCAGGCUAGAGUUCUGGAGGGGAUAGCGGAAUUCCUGGUGUAGCGGUGAAAUGCGUAGAUAUCAGGAGGAACACCGGUGGCGAAGGCGGGUCUCUGGGCCGAUACUGACGCUGGAGGAGCGAAAGCGUGGGGAGCGAACAGG